UACGGGAGGCAGCAGUGAGGAAUAUUGGUCAAUGGGCGCGAGCCUGAACCAGCCAUGCCGCGUGCAGGAUGACGGCCCUAUGGGUUGUAAACUGCUUUUGCGGGGGAAUAAAGUGACCUACGUGUAGGUUUUUGUAUGUACCCCGAGAAUAAGGACCGGCUAAUUCCGUGCCAGCAGCCGCGGUAAU
rnacentral:rRNA from 1 species